UUAAUACAGCACAGCAGGACCCGGUGUGUGUAACAGAGAAUGAAGUGUGGGUGUGUUGGGUGUGUUCUGAGCUUCAGUCUUGUACAGGAUGAUGGUUCGACUGAGCAGGAAACCGCAGAUCUGUGAAUCAUGGAGGAGAUAAUCUCUGAUCGUCCUGAUUCUUCUCCAUCAUCUCCUAACAAUCCAUCUUCACCUUCAUCUGAAACCCUGCACAUGGGUUUAGCGAGUCCGGCUUUGGUGAUGGAGUUGAAGAAACCACACACACUGAAACCUGUACACACACACACAGGCCUCACUACAGUGUUCUGUGGGCGUGGUCGCACCAAUGCUGCCUCCAGCCAAUCAGAGUCCCCGCCUCCUUCUGCCUCCACUAAUCAGCACGCAGCAAAAAGCCAGAGCCUGUCUAAUGAAAAGCCAAACUAAGAGGAGUGUGGAAGCUCUGCCCCGCCCUGUCUACAGUCAUACUGCUCUUUAUUUAGCUGCACAUACGGUAUAAUGUAGUAGAGGCCACGCCCAUACGGCAGGGGUACACGCUCCAGCCCAGCACAAGCUGUGAUUAAAGAGUGUGGGCGGGGCUUGUUCACUUCAUCAGUCUCAGAGAUAAGAGGAUCCGGCUGAUCUUGUGUAACGGUUCCUGACCGUGAGUCCUGGAGAGCUCAAACCCUCCGGAGUUUCAGAACCUGCAGAUGAUUUAGGACACGACCUGAAAUGCUACCGUCCGUCCGAACCUCCUCACUGUAGAAUCACUGAUUGUUUCAGCACAAAAAUGUUAUUAUAUAAAAAACUCACAUUUAAUUAUUUUAUAUCAAUAAAUGAAAUAAAAAUCUGAAACUUC